ACAGAGGGGGCAAGCGUUAUUCGGAAUUAUUGGGCGUAAAGGGCGCGUAGGCGGUUUUUUAAGUGAGAUGUGCAAUCCCCGAGCUUAACUUGGGAACUGCAUCUCAUACUGGGAAGCUAGAGUGCUGGAGAGGGUGGUGGAAUUCCACGUGUAGCGGUGAAAUGCGUAGAGAUGUGGAGGAACACCAGUGGCGAAGGCGGCCACCUGGACAGCAACUGACGCUGAGGCGCGAAAGUGUGGGUAGCAAACAG
rnacentral:rRNA from 1 species